UCAGUCUAAUAUGACUGGUGUCUUUAUAAAGGGAAAUUUGGUCUCAGGUGGAUAUGGAAAGAAGACCAUGUAAAGACCCUGGGAGAAGACGGCAUUUAAAAUCCAUGGAGAAGCCCCAAGAGGAGCCACAAUUGUCAACUCCUGGUUCUAGAACUGCUAGUCUUCUGAACUUGGAAUUUCUUGCAAUUGUUGAUGGAUAAGUAGUUGCAGCCUGUAUAAUAUCACCUUUUUGGAAUUUGCUGAUGUUUCCACUGUGGUUUAGCACAUGAACCCUUUGAAGCCCCCUUGAGUAGCACAGUGGUUCCUGUUCACAGCAUCCACCACAAUGCACAUGAGAUAAGAGAUUUCCACAACUGCAUACUAACUUGAAGCUUCAGAAAGUCAUUUUUAAAAUAAUCAACUGUUCAAGUCUUCAUCUUGUGAGCACAUGGCAUAUUUUAAAAAUCAAGAAAUUGGCAUUGACCAUGCAAUCAUCUCCUGAGGCAAGUGACUCAAUUUCUUUUUUUGUUGUUAAAUUCUUUUUUUAUUUUUAUUUAUUUU